UAGCAACUUGUAUUAAGUCUGGAACACAAGAACAUGAUAAAAUAAUUAAAUGAUUUUAUAGUCUUGAUCAAAAUACAGUGUUUACACUGAGCACAAUAAACAAGCAUGUGAAAUCUGUCCUACAGGACCACAAGAGCAUCUUUAGUCCUAAAAGCAACAAAAAAAGUUCCUAAUGUAUUAAACAAUGAUAAGGCCAAGCUAAGGCUUGU
rnacentral:lncRNA from 1 species